CCUGUAUUUACCGUUUAAGCCCCUCCCCAUACUAAUCACGGCAAAAACCCCUUGCCGCCGUCGACGCCUUCCCGCCGCCGCCCGACCUCGCCGUCGCCGCCGAUCUCGCCGGCCACCUAGGUGGUCAUGUAACUGAUUCCGCGCUCUAUCUUCCUCGCCUGUCUCCGCAGGUAUGCUACACGGGCGCAAAUGCGUGAGCCGGCUGGCCGCUGGCGGCGUGGUGGAGGCAUCGCCGGCGGCCACCGUGGAGAGGCCAGCCUCGUACCUCCGCCAGCUAGCAGUGUUCCAGACCAGCAGGAGCUUGGCUCUGCUGGCGCGGAACGUCCAUAACCAGUUACCGGUCCAGCAGCGAUCCCUCUAUGAUUCAGCAAGCACCUGAAGCGUGCCAGUCUUGCGCUGAGCGCUGCUAUUUCCCACUCCUUUGAAAGCUUCUCAAACGGAGUCCACAACCGCUCUUCAAAUUAACAACUGCUGCAGCACGUGGCCAAAUGGUUUGCUGAAUGUCAGACGCAUCUAUGUGUUCAGCCCACAUGCAUACCUCACCACCAAGAACCAACUUCUGCUGUGCCGGGUUCUUGAUAUUUCUCAGUGGUUCAUUCAUAUAAAAUCCAUCCCAUGUAACUUCCAAGUGAUCUAGGUACCACUUAUCCUGGUUGCUCACAAUGCAUCUCAAACCAGCAGCAACAACUUUCUCUGCAACUCCACCUCCAAGCCUGUUAUAAUUUGUGGUGAAAAAUACUAGCUGUUAAUUUCCAAUAGCUGCACAAACAGAUGAUUUCUGGCUGGGUCCUCCUAAUUAGGAGAAGAAACUGCACUAUAUAAUGGUAUUGAAACUUUUCUUGCAAUCCUUUCACCUUUUCUUAAUAAAGGUUUGCAAUCCCAUUACUUCAAUAAAUUUCCUUGUUUAAACAACAUUCCUCUAGUUUUAUAUUACUUGUUGGACAUUGCAAAAUACAGAUACUACCAUAAGUUGUUCUCUAUGAAUGGGCAUUUACUGACGUGUAAACAAACUAUGCAAACUAAUUUGUUCAAAGAGAAAUUUAGUGCCAUCACAAUGAUGUAUAAAUUGACAAAUACCAUCCAAUGUAAGCAUAACAUAUGGUCGCAGGACCAAUAUUAGAAAUAUCUAAUGACAUAUUCCAGCUUGGUGAUCUUUGCCUUCUUCAAAUGAGAAUGUGCUAUAUUUGAGAUUUGGCAAAUGUGGUCAUUGUUUCUUAUAAUAGGCAUGACAAUAUAAUUUGGCAAGAGCAUACAACUUUGUUUUAUUUUCUUUUCCUAACAAGGAUGCUGAUAAUUUUUUAUAUAAUGACAAUCAAGAGGCAGUUAGGAAAUACCAGUUAUGCACCACAGUUCUGCGGUCUAGUUUGUCUCCAAAGUUGUUAAAGGUUUCUUCCCUACAAGGACAAGAAAGUGUAUCAAUAGCUAUUUGAAAGAUCUAGAUCUGCAAAACCAAGUCACAUACCAGUUAAUAACUUCGUAGCCAUGUGAUUUUGCUAUCUUUUGAGCUCUCAAUACAAAAUAUCUGUAGGCAUCAGAUUCUUUCAUACCAUGUUGGGCCAACCUGCACACCAGGAAAAAUACUUCAGAUUAGAUCAAAUGACUGAUCAUCCCUGCUACAGAAGGACCUGGUGAUGGUGGUGAGUCGGCCAUCACCAACACAUCUACAAUUGGUGGGAUCUUCUGCAGGUAGAAAAAUAGAUGAUAAUGCAUAUGUCAUGGUUAUUUAUGGGUUGAUGCUUGGUUGCAAAAUGUUUUGGCCUCAGAAACAUAUAUAAUUUUCAUGUUUAGUUCUUAUUUUUUUAAUCUGUUCCAAGGCUCGGGUAUUUUGCUACAAUAAAGAGAAAAUAUUGUCAAUAAGUGCAUAUCAAGUAUGCUGUUGCUCUUAUUCUUUAUACUAGUUCUAGAUAAGAGCAUACCAUGCUUUAACGCGUGGUGUGGAAGUCCAGCAACCUGAAAUUCAUAGUGAGUAAUUAUUAGAUUACUAAACUACUAUAUGAUAUGAGAUCUGCUGCUCUGCAGGGGAGAUACUUUUGCAGACUUACUUGUAUUGACCUCAUCACCUCCCAAAUGGACAAACUUGAACUUAAAAACCUUGCUGAAAUCUGAAAGAGCAUCAAAAGUUAUUAGUGAAUAUUAUACAAGAUCAUCAAUUUGUUUUUCACAAUAUAUUCAUUAUUCGGUUCGUUGAACUGCUUUUUUUUUUCCUUUUGUUGGUAAGUAUAAGAUAAAUGGCUGUUUUUUUCUCUUUCAAAGUAAUAAAAGUACCACUCAAAAUAUAACGUGAUUUCUGUUGGUAAACCGUGAAUUACCUGAAAGAAUUCCAUUAAUCACUUGGAAUGUAGAUUCGCUGCUGACAUCAAGUGGUUCUUUACAAGUAGCUGAUGGCCACAACGACGGAUAACCAACACCCCUAAAACAAAAAGAAAUGCGCAAUUUAUUUGCAACCUUUUGAUAUUCCUACUGUCAUAUCUAGUUAAAUAACUUCAUCCGUAAGGCACUGUGCUUUCUGGAUUUAAAAGGUAUACCAUGAGUACAACAAAAACAAAGGAUUCAGGUUUUCAUCAGUAAAACCUGAAUAGUCAUGGAGCAUAUGCUAGAGAAGAACAGCAUUGGCAUAUUAAAUACUUACCAUGAGAGAGCAUGGCCAGGAACAUCAAUCUCAGCUAAGACAUUGACACCUCGUCGUUCAGCAUACCUGCAGAUUAUUGAUAAGUUAUCUUACCUUGGUUAAAUCCAACAGCAUAGCUAACUGAUCUCUAAAUUGAUCACAUCAUUCUCCAAAGAAGGAAUGGGUUUUAGAGUUUUGUUUUUUAUUUUCUGCUGAGUUCCCUUUGCAAUAUUUAUAUAAAUUACUUAACGUGGUUUUACUGCAUGCUCUUAGCUCCUGUUACUUCAUAGUGAAGGUAAAUAAAUUCUUAUGUCCAGCCAUAACCUUAGAGUGAUAUUUGCUAAAUUCUGCUCUUUCACAUGAAAAAUGAAAGACAGAAAAACUCACUGAACAAUGUCGAUAGCAUCAUCCAUUGUAUAUCUCUCUGAGUAAGAGUAUGCACCAUUCCAUAAUUUUGGGUAUGAAGGUAUUUCUAUAGGAAAUGACUGUUCAUCCACGAUAUGCCAAUGAAGAACAUUCUGCAUGAUGAUAGAGUAAGCAGAUUAUAUGAUGCAACUAAAACUAAAGGAAUAUCUGGAGAAGGACCAUUGCAAUGGAGAGAAUUAUCAAUCAAGAUUGAAGAACUGGUUUCUUGUGAAAAGAUCAAACCUACCAACUUGCUGUAGGUCAUCGAAUCGAUUACGCUUUUUAUUACUGGGACAGGAAGGUAAUGCCUUGAAGUAUCUGUAGGAUGCCAGUGCAUUGAGUUGAAAAAAGAUCAGGUAUUAUCUUUCCUCAAACUAUUUGAGGACAAUAGUAGAUGUAUCAGAUAAAUCCUUUAAAAGAAAGAGAUAUCAGACGCUAUUUUUACAUGCACAAUAUUUACUGAUUCUUCAUAUAAGCCUAGUAUGGAACAUGUGGAGUAAGUAUGAGCAUCCAUCUUAGAAUUAUUCAUGAUGGUGGUUAACAACACCAAAAAAGAAAAAAGACUUGUGAACAAAUGGAAAAGAGAUUAUGAAGAAAUGGAAUAUAUUUUGGUUCAAAACUUCUGAUAGCUGUAAGGGUUUAUAUUAAUGGAACAAUAGGGAUGGUCCCUGCUAGAAGUUCUGAAAAAAAGGACAAUUCACGGCAAUAUGUACAAGAGCAAAUACAAGAUAAAGGAGUUCAACGGAGGAAGGUUACAAGUUGCAGGCACUGACAAAUUGUAUGAUUCAUCCACCCCGAAGUUGAGCUGCAGAGGACAAAAUCAACCAAAUACAGGUCACAAGAAGGUAAGAAAAAAGGAGAACACCACAAGUUCACAAGGCUUUACCUCAUCGCCGGGCAAAUGCACGACGACAUUCACACCGGCGAGCAGCGGCAAGCCCUGGGAGCUGCCAUUGAUGACGUGGUCCAGCUCUAUCAGCGUCACCAUCCUCUGGAACGCGUCCUUCAGGAUGGCCUCCCCGUCGGCGUACUUGCUCCCCUCCGCCGUCAUCCUGAGCUCCCUGCUGACGUGCAGCGUCUGCCCGCCUUUGCUCGCCGUCGCCGGCAUUGGCCACACCUCGACGACGCUCCCCUCAUCGGCGGCGACGGCGCAGGACACCACCGCCGCCACCGCCACCACCACCAGCAACCUCAGAGCCAUCGCUGGCGCCAUCCUAUCCCUGCAAGAAACCCGGCAACUUCAAAAACCGUCGCCGUCAGUAACGCCGGCGACCAGACCACGCCGGAGCAAGAAGAUGAAGAGAAACGCCGUUGCCGAUUGAUCCGGGGAUGUGCCGAAGUGGAAGAGCUUAAUAAUGUGCACGCCAGCGACUAGGUGGGUGCAAGAAAAGGCCGCAACUUUUAGCGCCCUUUUGCCUCUGCCUUCCCGCCUUUUGCAAGAAAAACAACAAGAAGAAGAUGAUAGUGCAUCCUGCUCCUGCUGCUGCUGCUGCUGCUGCCUUUAUGAAUUGUGCCAAACUAUGGAGUGCACAGGUGGAUAGCAGUGGCAGUAGAGAACAUCAGUAACAAUGGUGGCUAAUGCAGCCACAACACAAGCAUGUGAUGUGAUGGUGUGGUAUUAGUGUAGGGAGAGAUCUGUGCUUGGAUGUGGAGGAAGGGUACUCUCUCCGUCCUAAAAUAUAAGAUUUUUAUUUAUGAAUGUCCAGAUUCAUAACUAAAAAUUGCUAUAUUUUGGGACGGGGUAGUAGUUAAUUAGGUUGGUAGGAUAGGGUAGGGGAGAGAAAUGUGGAUGUUUUGGAUGAGUGAUGAUAUUGUUAACAAUGGAGUCUUUUUUGCUGAAAUGAUCAGAGGAGAAGAACUAAGGGAAUGGAAGGGAGUGUGCCUAGCUGCCAUUAUCAGGUAGGUAAAAGUAGUUUACUGACAAAUGCCGAGCGUUGGAGUAUCACUUAA